CUCUCCCUCCCCCCCAAAUAUCCUGAACCUAAUUGUAUCCGAGCCUCGCUCCUCACAGCCAGCUCUUGGAGGGCAAACGGUGUUUCUUCUUGUUGUUGUUGUUGUUGUUAUUGUUGUCGUAGGCGCCGUCGUUGCUGUUGUUACCGCUGUGGGUGCCUAUAAGAACAGAGCCGGAACUUCACUGCUUGUUGAGAGCAGGAAAAUUGGAGGCGGGAGCUAUCACUUUCAGUUGGGGGGUAAGCAGACAGAAUCGGAGAUGCCUUUGAGAGAGAGGUUAAACUCGAACUGAGCUGGGAAGGAAGCGCAGCUUUCAACAGGCAGAGGCUGCAAGGGACCUCGGAGCCCCUCGUCGUCUCGCGGCUGCGGCGGCGGGGACCCCCUGAGAGCCGGGGAGGAGAAGCCGGGAUAGACGCCAGCUUGAGGUCGCCCGGGGAGCCGGUGCCCACUGAUCUCCGGGAGAACCUGGAGCCCAACUGAAACGCUCGUGGGCUAAGUGAGGAGGACACAGAACGAGGGGUCGUCGCUCGCUCGCCCUUUCCCCAGCGUGCAGAGCUGAGGCGGUCGAACAGCGGGGCAUCAACAGACCCUAGAUGAAAACGGACGUGGAAAAGGCCUCCUCUGGCAUCUGACCGUCACCGGCCGCAUCACGCUCCAUCGGACAAAAACUCAGAAGAGUCACGUGAGACGAGGAAGAGUUGGGAACCAUGUCUCUGUCCCAGGAAGUCGCUAAUUCCACUCAUCUCCCAGGAGAUCCAGGCAACAGCAGUUAUGACAGCGGCCACGGCUGCAUCAGCAGCGGCAACGGCAGCGGCGGCGGCGACAGCAGCGGCGGCGGCGGCGGCGGCGGCGGCGGCA